rnacentral:rRNA from 1 species
UACGUAGGUGGCAGGCGUUAUCCGGAUUUACUGGGUGUAAAGGGCGCGUAGGCGGGGAAGCAAGUCAGAUGUGAAAUCUAUGGGCUCAACCCAUAAACUGCAUUUGAAACUGUUUUUCUUGAGUGCUGGAGAGGUAGACGGAAUUCCUUGUGUAGCGGUGAAAUGCGUAGAUAUAAGGAAGAACACCAGUGGCGAAGGCGGUCUACUGGACAGUAACUGACGCUGAGGCGCGUAAGCGUGGGGAGCAAAC